UUAGCUAAUCAAGCAGAAGAUUCUACCAAACUUGAACAAAAUCACAAGUUGCAGCUCCAACUCAAUAGUAUUCCAUGUUUAACUUACGGGAAAAAUAACGCCAUAAUUGCCGUCGUAAGGCCCGUACAACGAAAACGCAGGUGUCUGUCCGCUGUAUGUCUUCCCAAACAGCUUAUCUAUUUCGAGCAGCAUGGAAUAUAUCUCCUGACGUCUUAGAUCCGUGAUAUUCUCAUGUGUUACUAUCUAUCAAAACAGAAGAAAUACAUUUACAAGCAAAAUUACAAACUGAGACAAGAAAAAGGGAAAGUCUACAUUCACAACAACACACGUAACAUUAAGUUGCUGUUAAAAAGAGAGAAGAACUACCGAACCAAGAGUUGUCCAAGUGAGUAAAUAUGGAGCUUUAUGCGAGGUUUCUGCCAAGGUUGGACCUAAUAUCCUGUACUUAGGUUUCACAUUUAUAUUCCUAUGAUCAAUCUUCUCAUAAGAAAAAUCACCUGCAAUAUUAUAAAAGAAUUACAUACGUACUCAAUUGAUAAUCAAAUAUCGCAUCCGACGACCAUGGACCAGCGAUGCAAGCCACUUCAAAGAAUUUGGACAAAGCGUGCAUUCUGUUCUCGAAUAGCGUCAUAUUGAAAUUGCAUUCUUUGGGAAUUAUCAAAUUUUCGAGAUACUGAAAUAUACGAGGGAUUGAUAAUAUGUCAGAUCCGUGGAUAUUUACAAAGAUGAAUGUGAAAAUAAGCCAGUGAAACAUACGGAAAGCUAUGCUCGACCUUGGAUUUGUCGCCAUCCCUUUUGAAAAUAAAUAUCCUUUUGUUACAUAAUUCUCUAAACAGCGAGUUUUCUAAUGAACGAAUCUAUGAUUCGCGAUUCAUUUAACACUGCUUUUAUAUAAAGGCUAAUCAUAUAGUGUAAUCAAGUUAUAUUAUGAUAAACUUAUCACUGACAAUGAGUUAUAUUUUCACUCGGGCCAGCAUGCAUGCAAUAUCGAACUUACUUGUGUAUAUUAGAAAUGUCACAUAUAAGUAAUUUUAACAAAUUAUUAUUCUAUAGACGUAAAAA